UACGUAGGGUGCGAGCGUUAAUCGGAAUUACUGGGCGUAAAGCGUGCGCAGGCGGUUCUGAAAGUCAGCUGUGAAAGCCCCGGGCUUAACCUGGGAAUGGCGGUUGAAACUACAGGACUAGAAUCUGGCAGAGGGGGGUGGAAUUCCACGUGUAGCAGUGAAAUGCGUAGAGAUGUGGAGGAACACCGAUGGCGAAGGCAGCCCCCUGGGCUGAGAUUGACGCUCAGGCACGAAAGCGUGGGGAGCAAACAGG
rnacentral:rRNA from 2 species